UNGCAAGCAGGGCCAGUCUCGAUAGCC
rnacentral:piRNA from 1 species